rnacentral:rRNA from 1 species
GACGAACCGAGCGAACGUUAUUCGGAAUCACUGGGCUUAAAGCGCGUGUAGGCGGAUGGGAACGUCGGUCGCUGAAAUCCCCCGGCUCAACCGGGGAACGGGCGCCGAAACGACCCGUCUGGAGGGACGUAGGGGGACCUGGAACUUCCGGUGGAGCGGUGAAAUGCGUUGAGAUCGGAAGGAACGCCCGUGGCGAAAGCGAGGUCCUGGACGUCUACUGACGCUGAGACGCGAAAGCUAGGGGAGCGAACGGG